GGAUUUGUUUUUAUGGUCCAUAAGCACAAAGGACAUCUUUUAGUAAAGGGUUCUUAUAGGAUCACUCAGAUGGAAGAAGAUUGAGUGUGAAAUAUGUCUGUAGAUUUUUCAUUAUUCAAAAUGGUUUCUCAGGAAAAAUAGGACCUACUUUGUUUUUUACUUUAAAUUGUGGUAAAAUAUACAUAACAUAAAAUUUACCAUGUUAGCCAUUUAGAAACAUAACAGUUCAAUGGCAUUAAGUACAUUUACAUCGUAGUACAACCAUCACACUGUCCAUCCCCUUAUUAAACUUGCCUUCCUUCUCUCUCUCUCCUUCCUUCAUAAUUUUCUUCUUCAUUUUCUUCUUUUUUUAAUUUGGAGGAAAGUGUAUCUGUGUGUUCUCCUUCCUUCUCUUUAUUCCUUGCAACUUUUUUUAAUUGCCAAUUUCUUUUCUUUUUUUUAUGGUAAAAAUAUGUAACGAAAUUUACCAUCAUAAUCAUGUUUAAGUGUAAAUUACAGUAUGUUAACUAAAUACGUUUGUUGUACAACAGAUCAUCAGAACUUUUUUAUCUUGUAAAACUUAAACUCUUUUACUAUUGAACAGCAACUGCUCGUUUUCCCCUUCCCUAGCCCCUGGUAAUCAAAUUUUACUUUCUGUUUCUCUGAGUUUGACAACUAUCAAUACCUCAUAUAAAUGGAAUCAUGCAAUAUUUGUCUUUUUGUGAUUGAUUUGUUUCACAUAGCAUAAGGUCCUCAAGGUGUUGCAGUGUCUGACAAGAUUUCCUAUUUUUAAAAGGCUGAGAAAUAGUCCACAUUUUCUUUAUCCAUUAAUUUAUCUGUGGACAUUUAGUUUGCUUCCACCUCUUGCUAUUAUGAAUAAUGCUGCAAUGAACAUUCGUGUGCAGAUAUGUCUUUGAGAUCCUAUUUUCAAUUCUUUUGGAUAUAUACCCAGAAGUAGGAUUGCUGGAUCUUAUGGUAAUUCUAUUUUUAAUUUUUUAAUGAGCCUCCCUACUGUUUCCCAUAGUGGCUGUACCAUUUUACAUUCCCAUCAACAGUGCACAUGGGUUCUAAUUUUUCCACAUCCUCACUAACAUGCUGUUUUUUAAGUUUUUUAGAUAAUAGUCAAUGGGUGGGAGAUGAUAAUCUCAUUGUGGUUUGAUUUGCAUUUUCCUAAUGAUUAGUGAUGUGGAGCAUCUUUUCAUGUAUCUGUUGGCCGUCUGUAUGUCAUCUUUGGAGAAAUGUCUGUUCAAGUCCUUUGCUCAUUUUUUAAUCAGGUUGUUUUUGGGUUUUUUUUGGUCACUGAGUUAUAGGAGUUCUUUAUGGAUUCUAAAUGUUAACUCUGAAUGUUAACAGAUAAAUGAUCUGUAAAUAUUUUCUCCCAUUCUGUAGGUAGCUUUUUUUACUCUGUUGAUUCUUAGAAAACUCUGGUAGAUCAGAAAGAAGAAAUAAAGUCCUUUCCUAAAUAUUCUUAUUUCACUACUGCUUUUAAGUCUUGUAUAGAACAGACCAUUUGUCCAGUGUUGGGUUACUUUCUUCAUACAACCUACAGGUAAAAUAAAAUUUCAUUAGUAGUAAUAUUAAUAGCUGAAGUGUAUUUUUUUAAUAGCUAAAGUAUAUUUAUGUACUGUGUGCCAGACAUUGUUCUAAGCAUUUUGCAUAUAGUAACAUUUAAUUCUCAGAACUGCUUAUAAAAUAGCUAUUACUAUUACCUCUGUUUUGUAGAUAAAGAGAAGCACAGAGAAAUUAAAGAACUUGUCUAAUCUUACAGAUAUAAAGAUUUUAGCUAUUCUACUGUCAACCUAAUCUGAUGCCUCCUGUGCAUAAUGAUGAGAGUGAGUCUGUUGGUGAUAAUGCCUAAAACUAAGAUAGUAAACUUACAUUAUUUGAGGUGGCUGGCUGGCUUAGUCGGUAGAAUAUGAGACUCUUGAUCUUGGGGUCAUGAGUUCAAGUCCCACACUGCAGGUAGAGAUUACUUAAAAAAAUAAACAUAUUAUUCAACUUCCCAUCAUUGUAACAGAAUUUGUACACAACAUAGAAUUCUGUAUAUUCACUUUUACCAAAACUGAAUGAAUUAUCUCUGCAGCUACUACUGAGUUCUUGAUAUCAUUCUUCUAUUAAUCAGGCUUGGAACUUUUCCUUUGACCUCUUGUAUUCAUUCCUUAGGUCCAGAUAUUGCUCUCUUGAUAAAUCUCUUGGAUUUAAUUCUUCUUUUUACAUUGUGGUUACUCUGCCUAAUUUUUCAUCUUUCACACUGAGCUGUUAUAUGAUAGCAUGUCUAUUGCUUAUCUAUUCCCCCUCCAAUCUAUACUGCAUACUCUAGAUUAAUCUUCCUAAAAUAGACCUUUGAUUAUGUCACUCAUAAAUCCAUUCUUUGGAUUUAAUUAGUGUCAUCAUUCCUGUUUAGUUUUCUCUACCAUCUGUACUCCUGCCUUUGAAUUUUUUCCCUUAUGACUUUCCACUUUCUUGACUGAAUCCCAACCAUUCAUCUAGUUAGUUCCUUCCUUCCCUAAGUAAUUGAUAAUUUAUUAUUUUAAAAUUGUAUAUGUACAAGGUUUAAAAGAAAACCACCUGUUCAGAAAAGAUCCCCCAAAUAUAAGCUUCUUGGGGACAGACUGUCUAGUUCCCAGGUAUGUUUUUAGUGCCUAGAAUGGUGCCUGACAAAUAGAAAGCGUUCACUAUAUAUUUAUCUUUGGAAUGAGAAGUGAACGUCUUCCUCCUCCCCAUUCACCCUCCUCUACUUACUAGUAUUGGAGUAUUAUAAAGACAAUAAAUAACACUCUUUUCUUCCCCAUAUGAGUUUAAAACCAAAUAAGGGAGAUGGAGAAUCAAAAUAUCAGCUUUAGUGCUGCCAUAAGCUCGAUUGGAGGCUAUAGUUUAGAUGUGUUCAACCAUAAUGUACCUUUUAACAAACUAGAACAUAGACUGUGAGAGCUGUGCUGUUUUGUUUGCUUCUAUAUUUUCAGUUUCUGAUUUGAUGACUUUUUUUUUUUUAGCUUCACCCGUGCAUUAGGCAGCCUUACUAACCUAGUUACAGGCAAGUCCAAGUACUGGAGGGCUUUCUUUAAAGGUGCUGGCAGCUUAUCUAUAUGCACUAUUGCUUUAUGAAGAAAGGUACAAAAAGAAGCCGUGAAGAGCUGAUGUGAGCAUGUUGCAUUUCUUUCCUGAAGAAAAUCAGUCAGUUCUCUUCCAGGAGAGUGCGAAGGACAGAAGAGGCUGGAAGUGUUCUUCCUCUGCUAGUUCCUCUUACAGAAUGCAAGAAAAAUGCCCUCUCUGUGGACAUGAGGGGUAGAAUUCAGUGUCCCCCUCAAAUAUCUUUAGGUUGCCAUUGAAGUUUUAGAAGUUAGGGUUAUUUUUGUGAUUAUCUUUAUAAGUGUAAAUAAUAUACCUAAAUGUCCAUGUCUUGAUAUAUCAACUUCAUAUGGUAUUAAUUAAAACUCUUCUGUGCAGUAUUAAAUUCGUACAUUUACACUUCCUUCCAAUUUUUCCAAUUUCUUAUUUCUACCAAUUUUGGUAAAUUACAGUAUUUUUAUAUUGUUAAGACUUUAAAAAUAUUUUUAUUGUGUUCAAUAUCCAUAUUUGUUUUGGUUGAUUUGAAAAAAUGAUGACUAACAGGCAGCACUUACCAUUAUUGCAAUUAAGUGACAUUAUAUUAUUACAUAGAACCAAGUAAAUGGGUAAAUCCUCUUGUGAAACCCAGUUUAGGUCUUGGUUUUGGAGGGUGCAGUUUCAUCAACUCCCCUAAAAUUUGGGGAAACCUAGCAGUUUUGCCUUUCUGUAAAGUUCCAUAUCCUGUGUGGUAUUACCUGCACCACAUUUAGAACCUACAAGUGCCUAUUGUUUCAGUUGUAUUUUCAUGUUAAAUUCCAUAAAGAUAGUGGUUUAUGUUUUCUUGGUAUUUCCUAGAGUGCGUGACAUAACAAAAACUUUGAACAUAGUAAACAUUUAAAAAGAUAAGCUUAUGGGGGCACCAUGGGUGGCUCAGUUGGUUAAGGGCCCGACUUCAGCUCAGGUCAUGACCUUGUGAUUCAUGAGUUCGAGCCCUGCAUCAGGCUCUGUGCUGACAGCUCAGAGCCUGGAGCUUGCUCGGAUUCUGUGUCCCCCUAUUAUCUCUCUGCCUCUACCCCAUUCUCACUCUGUCUCUCUCUCUCAAAAAUAUAUAAACAUUAAAAAAAAUAAGUUUAUGUAAAAACCAUAAUCCUUAUACAAAAAUUACUGAGUAUGAAGGAUGAAGUUUGGUUCUGUGCUUCCUUCCUUACCUAUAUUUAUUUGUAUAAAUAAAUCAGAUAUUAACUGUAUAUUUGCUAUAUACAAGGUAUUGUAGGUACUGUAGGAGAUACAAGACUCAGUAGAUACAGAACCACAGAACCUUCCUUGGAAGUAUAGGAGAGGCAGAACUUUGCAUCUACCCUCCUAGGAUUUUCACCUGGGCCUGAGAAUUAAAUUGACAAGACAAAUUAACAGGAGAAAAGCAUACAAAUUUUUAUGUAUACCUGGGCCCUCAUUGGGAAAUGAAGAUGCAAACAAAUGGCAAAACCUAAGUGCUUAUAUACUAGGUUGAACAAAAAAUGGCAGUUGUACCUAAAAUAUUUAGAGAGACUAAAGGGAGAUAAUUAUCAUUUAACAAGUCUCUUUGUAUAUAUUUCUCUCAGCCUGACUCCCACCUCUGGUGAUAAGAAUGUUUCUUUCCCCCUGGAAUAGACAGGGCAACUCUCACAUGGGAGUUUCAUCUCCUGCUUUUAGGAAGAAAAGAGGAAGUCAGAGGCACCUGGAUGGCUCAGCCAGUUAAGCGUCCAACUCUUGAUAUCAGCUCAAGUCAUGAUCUUGUGGUUUGUGAGUUCCAACCCCCGAGUCAGGGUCCACGCUGACAGUGCAGAAUCUGCUUGGGAUCCUCUCUCUCUCUCCCUCUCCCUCUCCCUCUCCCUCUCCCUCUCCCUGUCUCUGUCCCUCUCUCUCCUCCCCCCCUCCAUCUCUGUCUCUGUCUCUGUCUCUGUCUCUCUCUCUCUUUCUCUCUCUCUGUCCCUCCCCAGCUCAUUCUCUUUUUCUCUCUCUCUCUCUC